rnacentral:tRNA from 1 species
GGUAGUGUGGCUUAGUGGUAGAGUGUUUGUCUUGCAUGUAUGAAGUCCUGGGUUUGAUUCCUCAGUACCA